rnacentral:rRNA from 1 species
CAGGCUUAACACAUGCAAGUCGAGGGGCAUCAGGAAGAAAGCUUGCUUUCUUUGCUGGCGACCGGCGCACGGGUGAGUAACACGUAUUCAACCUGCCCUUUACUCGGGGAUAGCCUUUCGAAAGAAAGAUUAAUACCCGAUAGCAUAAUGAUUCCGCAUGGUUUCAUUAUUAAAGGAUUCCGGUAAAGGAUGGGGGUGCGUUCCAUUAGGUUGUUGGUGAGGUAACGGCCCACCAAGCCUUCGAUGGAUAGGGGUUCUGAGAGGAAGGUCCCCCACAUUGGAACUGAGACACGGUCCAAACUCCUACGGGAGGCAGCAGUGAGGAAUAUUGGUCAAUGGGCGCUAGCCUGAACCAGCCAAGUAGCGUGAAGGAUGAAGGCUCUAUGGGUCGUAAACUUCUUUUAUAUAAGAAUAAAGUGCAGUAUGUAUACUGUUUUGUAUGUACUAUAUGAAUAAGGAUCGGCUAACUCCGUGCCAGCAGCCGCGGUAAUACGGAGGAUCCGAGCGUUAUCCGGAUUUAUUGGGUUUAAAGGGAGCGUAGGUGGACUGGUAAGUCAGUUGUGAAAGUUUGCGGCUCAACCGUAAAAUUGCAGUUGAUACUGUCAGUCUUGAGUACAGUAGAGGUGGGCGGAAUUCGUGGUGUAGCGGUGAAAUGCUUAGAUAUCACGAAGAACUCCGAUUGCGAAGGCAGCUCACUGGACUGCAACUGACACUGAUGCUCGAAAGUGUGGGUAUCAAACAGGAUUAGAUACCCUGGUAGUCCACACAGUAAACGAUGAAUACUCGCUGUUUGCGAUAUACAGUAAGCGGCCAAGCGAAAGCAUUAAGUAUUCCACCCUGGGGAGUACGCCGGCAACGGUGAAACUCAAAGGAAUUGACGGGGGCCCGCACAAGCGGAGGAACAUGUGGUUUAAUUCGAUGAUACGCGAGGAACCUUACCCGGGCUUAAAUUGCAGUGGAAUGAUGUGGAAACAUGUCAGUGAGCAAUCACCGCUGUGAAGGUGCUGCAUGGUUGUCGUCAGCUCGUGCCGUGAGGUGUCGGCUUAAGUGCCAUAACGAGCGCAACCCUUAUCUUUAGUUACUAACAGGUUAUGCUGAGGACUCUAGAGAGACUGCCGUCGUAAGAUGUGAGGAAGGUGGGGAUGACGUCAAAUCAGCACGGCCCUUACGUCCGGGGCUACACACGUGUUACAAUGGGGGGUACAGAAGGCAGCUAGCGGGUGACCGUAUGCUAAUCCCAAAAUCCUCUCUCAGUUCGGAUCGAAGUCUGCAACCCGACUUCGUGAAGCUGGAUUCGCUAGUAAUCGCGCAUCAGCCACGGCGCGGUGAAUACGUUCCCGGGCCUUGUACACACCGCCCGUCAAGCCAUGGGAGCCGGGGGUACCUGAAGUACGUAACCGCAAGGAUCGUCCUAGGGUAAAACUGGUGACUG